rnacentral:rRNA from 1 species
CAUAUCACUAAGCGGAGAAAAAGAAAAUAACAAUGAUUCCUAAAGUAACGGCGAGUGAAAUAGGAUAAGCCCAUAGCCGAAUUCUGCUGUCCUCGAUGGCAGCUAGAAGUUGUGGCGUUGGGAACUGCCUAUUGUAACCGAUCGGUCGGGCUACGCGACUCCUCUUGAUUGUGGUUUGCCCAUAGCAGGUGAAAGGCCUAUUGUCGUAGCCUCGUAUUGAAGACCGGCGGUGAUGGCAGUCCUUAGAGUCGGGUUGUUUGGGAUUGCAGCCCGAAGUAGGUGGUAAACUCCACCUAAGGCUAAAUACGAUCGCGAGUCCGAUAGCGCACAAGUACCGUGAGGGACAGUUGAAAAGAACUUUGAAGAGAGAGUUCAAAGUACGUGAAACCGUUCAGAGGUAAACGGGUAGAAAGUCGAAUUGAGGGCUGACAAUCAAGCCGUGGUUGGUCAGAGUUGGGCUGGCAGCACGUUAAAGGUUGCCGGUUUGCUCAUAGGCUAGCUAUGGUUGUAUUUGUUGGUUCUCGUUCGCCGCAACGGCAGUGACUGACCGGUGGCAUCUGCUCCUCUGGUUGAUGUAGAUUCGUAUGAGUCUUUUAACGUCAGCACAAGGGUGGGUGUCCUGCGUACUUGGCACAGUCGGUAUUGCGAUUUAAGCGUUCCGGCUGGUUGUCGUUCGUUUUGUGUCGGCUGGCUGAACUUAAACAAGCUCGACGGUUGACAUCAGGGCGGCGGCGGCUGGUCUAAUGACGGAACAAAGGUCGCUUGGCGGCGUUUGACUACGAAUUAUCUACCUGACCCGUCUUGAAACACGGACCAAGGAGUCUAACCUGUGCGCGAGCCAUUGGGAAUUGAAACCCAUAGGCGUAGUGAAAGCAAAAAUGGUGAGAUCUGUCGUUUAAUUGUUAAGAUUAACGGCGGCGCAUCAUCGUCACGCCUCAUAUCGGCUUCGGCUGUAGAGGCGCAGACUGAGCGCACAAGUUGGGACCCGAAAGAUGGUGAACUAUGCGUGGCGAGGUCGAAGCCAGAGGAAACUCUGGUGGAGGACUGUAGCGGUUCUAACGUGCAAAUUGAUCGUCGCAGCUGCGUAUAGGGGCGAAAGACUAAUCGAACCAUCUAGUAGCUGGUUCCCUCCGAAGUUUCCCUCAGGAUAGCUGGCACUUUCGGAGAGCAGUUUUGUCCGGUAAAGCGAAUGACUAGAGGCCUUGGGGACAUAACGACCUCAACCUAUUCUCAAACUUUGAAUGGGCAAGAAGAGUGACUCACUUAAUUGGAGUUGCUUAUGUGAAUGCUUGAGUGCCAAGUGGGCCAUUUUUGGUAAGCAGAACUGGCGCUGUGGGAUGAACCAAACGUUAAGCUAAGGUGCCAAAUACUAACGCUCAUCUGAACCCAUUAAAGGUGUUGGUUGAUAGAGACAGCAGGACGG